GCAGAGCCGCGGUGGCGGGACCCCAGGCCUCAUGCUCAGCCUCUUCUUGCUGAGGGUGCACGCCCCCUCACAUCCAGGGGCUCCCACGCUAGUUCUGCCAUAUGAAACCCAGUCAGAAACAACAGUACCACCAGGCCCGUCCCUAAGACUUCCCACAGACGCCACUGUUCUCGCUCUCUGCUCACCCCACUGUCUGGAGGCAGAUGAUGGUAGACGCUGGAUGCAAGGAGCCUGCGACAGCCUCCCGUGAGCCGGCAGGGCUGUGACGGCAGCACCACGCUGUCGGUCUGUCGGAGUGGCCAGGUCCACCCGCUGGGCUCACGGCAACGUGAGCUGUCCCACCAACACUCAUCACAAUGGAGGGAGGUGGACUGAGUGGCUUCACUUUGCAAUUAACUCCACAAAGAAGGAAAACACUGCUCAGGAAGUUAAGGGAACUUUCUCUGGCCGUGACGCUUGUAGGCAUUGAUGCCAAGACCUCCACACUGAACACUUUGUGCUUCUGUGGAACCAUCCAAGAACAAACUGGCAGAGCCGCUGUAAUUCUCCAGCAGAGAUUUACUGGGCAGCAUUCCAGGUGCCAAGCGAGGACGGAAACAAGCACGCGAGCCAUGGAUCCCAAAGCAAUCAACAGUACUUCUUUAUUACUUGACUUUUCGCUCUACCUAGUGUAUCAAGAAAAGAUCUGCUUUCUUCUCUGAAUUUCUGUAACCACUUUUAAGUAGUGGACGGGCUUGGUUAGACUAAGGGUUAUCAGAAAAUCAAGCACAGCGACACAGGCCAGCAAUCACACUUCAACUAACGGCCAGCCUGGAAGGACGGAGGGCCCACCUUCACCAGGGGCAACGAGCAGCCAGGAACAGCUGGCAUAUGUGUUCACUCCGCAAACAUCGACGCAGCACCUCGUGUUCACUGGGCAGAGA
rnacentral:lncRNA from 1 species